UGUAAAGUUCAAGCUCCGACAAGUGAGGGCGAAACCGCGAAUGGCUCAUUAAACCAGUCUGAAUCUACUUGGCGAUACAAAGUUAAACGGAUAACUGUGGUAAUUCUAGAGCUAAUACGUGCUAAAGAUGGGCGACUCCUUUCGGGGAGAAGCUCUGCGUUUAUUAGACUAAGACCAAUGAUGGGUAACCAUCUCUCUUAAGAUGACUCUGAGUAAAUAACGGGUGAAAGCCCGUGUUGCAGAUCUGAUUCUUAGAAAUCAGACCCGCCAAUCGAGUGUCUGCUCUAUCAACUGUGGAUGGUAGGAUAACGGCCUACCAUGGUGAUGACGGGUAACGGGGAGUUAGGGCUCGACUCCGGAGAACAAGCCUGAGAAACGGCUAGUAGGACUAAGGUCUGCAGCAGGCGCGAAACUUACACAAUGCUAGAUUUCAAGUGAAAAAAUAGCGAUGUAGUGAAGAAAAAUAACGAUGCACUUCCUCAAACAGGAUUGUGCAAUUGGAAUGAGACGACUUUAAACCAGUUAGUCGAGUAACAAAUGGAGGGCAAGUCUGGUGCCAGCAGCCGCGGUAAUUCCAGCUCCAUUAGCAUACAUUAAAGUUGUUGCGGUUAAAAAGCUCGUAGUUGAAUGUUGGUUCGGUUGUUUGCGUUUGUUGGUCGUUAAGGUCCUUCGGGACUGACCAAUAUAACCAGGCAGCCGACAGUUUCGUCACUUAAUCGAGUGCGAAGCGGGGUCCAAAUGACAGUUCUCGUAACUACCAUUUGAACCACCUUUACCUUGAGAAAAUUAGAGUGCUCAGAGCAGGCAGUUGGGUCUAAACAACCCUUUACGCUUGAAUAAUGUUGCAUGGAAUAAUAGAAUACGGCCUCGGUUCUAUUCUGUUGGUCUUAUAGAACAACAAACAGGUGUCUAUCAAACGGUGUUGCCUUGGGCCUUAAAAUCCAAGUUGCCACUAAGACACCGAGGCAAUGGUUAAAAGAAAUAGUCGCGGCGGCAUCAGUACUGCAUCGUGAGAGGUGAAAUUCUUAGACCGAUGCAAGACUAACUGAAGCGAAAGCGUUUGCCGAGGAUAUUUUCAUUAAUCAAGAACGAAAGUUAGAGGUUCGAAGGCGAUCAGAUACCGCCCUAGUUCUAACCAUAAACGUUGCCAACUAGCAAUUGGGUUGCGGUUCCUUUGGUUAGUUUUGGUAUUCUAUAUCUAAACUCAACCUAAAUGACCCACCCAGCGGCUCUCGUAGGGAAACCAAAGUGUUUGGGUUCCGGGGGAAGUAUGAUUGCAAAGUUGAAACUUAAAGGAAUUGACGGAAGGGCACCACCAGGAGUGGAGCCUGCGGCUUAAUUUGACUCAACACGGGGAAACUUACUAGAUUAGAACUCUGCUAUGAUUGACAGAUUGAUAGCUCUUUCUUGAUUCAGAGGAUGGUGGUGCAUGGCCGUUCUUGAUUCGUAUUCCGAAACGUCUGCUUAAUUGCGAUAACGAGUGAGACCUCACCCAACUAACUAGUCGUUUCGUGCGCUAGUGGAUUCACGGUUGGAGGGAGUAGGCUAAUUGGGUUCGCUCAGUUAGCUCUCUAUUCAACUACCGCCUGCUCGCGAGCGGACUUCUUAGAGGGAUAAACGGUGUUUUAGCCGUAAGAAACGAGGCAAUAACAGGUCUGUGAUGCCCUUAGAUACUCUAGGCCGCACGCGUGCUACAAUGGCCUGUGCAGAAAGCUUGUUCGAGGUCUCUCCAGAGAGAACUAGAUGGUUGGUUUUAGUAGGGUAGCAAUAUCUUGCUGGGAUCGCCAUCCAAGUGACUUUGGCUAGUAGGCCGAGAGAAACCGCAGCCGAAAGGUUGCGGCAAUCAAAAAUACAGGCCGUGAUUUGGGAUUGGGGAUUGCAAUUGUUGCCCAUGAACGAGGAAUUCCCAGUAAGCGCAAUUCAUCAUAUUGCGUUGAUUACGUCCCUGCCCUUUGUACACACCGCCCGUCGCUACUACCGAUUGGAAGUUUUAGUGAGGCAUUUGGACCUGCUUUCUAAGGGCGAGCAAUCGCCUUAAGCGAGCGGGGAAGUCUGUCGAACUCAAAUUUCUAGAGGAAGUAAAAGUCGUAACAAGGUUUCCGU
rnacentral:rRNA from 1 species